AUAACUACCCAACCCGAACCAAGACCCGAUUUAUAACCUCCACUCCUAACUGUUCGCCGUAGUUUCGCCGGAAGUCCCAAUCUCGUUCUCAACUCCGUCGCCGGCAACUGCUCAUUCCUACUCUGUAUCGGAAAUCUCCAACAGUGAAAAUUGCAUAAGCAUUAAUAUAUGAUUCUAGGGAAGAAAUGGCUGCACAUAUCUUGCAGUAACUGAGCCAAAGCAUGCAGACAUGUUGCUAAAUCCAUUCACUCACACAGAUAGUUGAUGCAGCUGGAAAAGUUCAUAUUAUGAUAGAGGCAAAGUUGUACAUUGACCGAUAUGGGGAAAAUUCUUGUUGGCAUGACUAUCAGCUGCUAGUGAGAAGAGUUAUCAUCAAGGGAAUUGAUCAUGCAUCAUAUUCUACAUUGCAUCUCAGACAAAGUUGCUAAGCCUCUACUGUUGCCCUAGAAGCAAAAAGCUGUUUUGCCUUAUAAUAGGUCCACUCCUGAAUGAGUCUGGAUCUUAAUUGUUUCCUCUGCAAGAUGCUGACGUAUUGCUUCGCAAAACGAGUUGAACAAACAGCACCUAAUUAUGUAAAAGCUUCCCUCAGGAGGACUUCUCUCAUUUGGGUUACGAAUAUCCACAGGGAUCACUGCCUUAUGAAAGAACAAAGUGGUUUCGAUCAAAGGGAAGCGUUUAACAAGUUCACCUACUGGAUAGAGCUACUGAAGGAGUAGUUUCAAAGAGAUGCGGUUGGAAAAUAUUUGAAAACAUAUGCUGAAAUUUCAGUAUCGUAAUAAUAUAGGAGUUGUUUCAUAUUAUUCUUUGACUAACAAGUCCAUUGAAUCAAUUUCUCAGUGAUCUUAAUGGAGGAACAAUGUUAAGUCGGCGGGUUUCCUGGUGUAAAACAGAUAUAAUCUCUAGAAGAACCAGGAUUACCGAAAAGAAAAACAAGGGAUUGUGCUUGAUUCUUCUUGUACUACCAAGUCAAGAAAUCAGUUUAUGUUAAUUCAUGAUAUUCUGCUUUGGUUGUGUUGGAUUUAUUCAUUGUUGUGGAGAAGAGAGUCAAACUAUUUCUUCUGUUGUCCUGUUUCUAUAGCUGUUUCUCUGGAUUGUUGUGGUCAUGGAGAGACAAGUUACUAGGUGUCGUAACUUUUCUCUCCAAUUAGUAUCCCCAAAUUAAGAUGUCUGAUGCAAGUGAGAGUGUGCUUGGAAUUCUAGUCAUCGUCUAUUGUCCUUACUGAAGUUGCUGGAAAAGAAAGACUGAUUUUUGAACU